rfam:Ajellomyces capsulatus H88 supercont1.6 genomic scaffold, whole genome shotgun sequence.
UCAUACAUCCAAACUCAACUUAAAUAUCUUACCGAAUUUUCAAACAAACUCACCACCCAAACCCACCCAUCCAAAAAUGUCUCCCUGCAACUGCAAUUGCUGCUCUGGUGACUGCAACUCCUGCGGCUGCGGCAGCUGCAGUGUAAGUUAAU